GACGAACGCUGGCGGCGUGCUUAACACAUGCAAGUCGAACGGAAAGGCCCUGCUUUUGUGGGGUGGUCGAGUGGCGAACGGGUGAGUAACACGUGAGUAACCUGCCACUGCCUUUGGGAUAACUUAAGGCAACUGGGGCUAAUCCCGGAUAGGAGCUCCUGCUGCAGGGUGGGGGUUGGAAAGUUUUGUCGGUUGGGGAUGGACGCGCGGCGUAUCAGCUUGUUGGUGGGGUAGUAGCUUAGCAUGGCGACGCACCAUAGCUGGUCUGAUAGGAUGAUCAGCCACACUGGGACUGAGACACGGCCCAGACUCGUACGGGAGGCAGCAGUGGGGAAUAUUGGACAAUGGGCGAAAGCCUGAUACAGCAAUGCCGCGUGAGUGAUGAAGGCCUUAGGGUUGUAAAGCUCUUUUACCCGGGAUGAUAAUGACAGUACCGGGAGAAUAAGCUCCGGCUAACUCCGUG
rnacentral:rRNA from 1 species